UACGUAGGGUCCGAGCGUUGUCCGGAAUUAUUGGGCGUAAAGAGCUCGUAGGUGGUUUGUCGCGUUUGUUCGUGAAAACCGGGGGCUUAACCCUCGGCGUGCGGGCGAUACGGGCAGACUUGAGUACUGCAGGGGAGACUGGAAUUCCUGGUGUAGCGGUGGAAUGCGCAGAUAUCAGGAGGAACACCGGUGGCGAAGGCGGGUCUCUGGGCAGUAACUGACGCUGAGG
rnacentral:rRNA from 1 species